ACGGGAGACACACGGCGGGUGCUAACGUCCGUCGUGAAGAGGGAAACAACCCAGACCGCCAGCUAAGGUCCCAAAGUCAUGGUUAAGUGGGAAACGAUGUGGGAAGGCCCAGACAGCCAGGAUGUUGGCUUAGAAGCAGCCAUCAUUUAAAGAAAGCGUAAUAGCUCACUGGUCGAGUCGGCCUGCGCGGAAGAUGUAACGGGGCUAAACCAUGCACCGAAGCUGCGGCAGCGACGCUGAUGCGUUGUUGGGUAGGGGAGCGUUCUGUAAGCCUGCGAAGGUGUGCUGUGAGGCAUGCUGGAGGUAUCAGAAGUGCGAAUGCUGACAUAAGUAACGAUAAAGCGGGUGAAAAGCCCGCUCGCCGGAAGACCAAGGGUUCCUGUCCAACGUUAAUCGGGGCAGGGUGAGUCGACCCCUAAGGCGAGGCCGAAAGGCGUAGUCGAUGGGAAACAGGUUAAUAUUCCUGUACUUGGUGUUACUGCGAAGGGGGGACGGAGAAGGCUAUGUUGGCCGGGCGACGGUUGUCCCGGUUUAAGCGUGUAGGCUGGUUUUCCAGGCAAAUCCGGAAAAUCAAGGCUGAGGCGUGAUGACGAGGCACUACGGUGCUGAAGCAACAAAUGCCCUGCUUCCAGGAAAAGCCUCUAAGCAUCAGGUAACAUCAAAUCGUACCCCAAACCGACACAGGUGGUCAGGUAGAGAAUACCAAGGCGCUUGAGAGAACUCGGGUGAAGGAACUAGGCAAAAUGGUGCCGUAACUUCGGGAGAAGG
rnacentral:rRNA from 1 species